UACGAAGGGGGCUAGCGUUGUUCGGAAUUACUGGGCGUAAAGCGCACGUAGGCGGAUAUUUAAGUCAGGGGUGAAAUCCCAGAGCUCAACUCUGGAACUGCCUUUGAUACUGGGUAUCUUGAGUAUGGAAGAGGUAAGUGGAAUUGCGAGUGUAGAGGUGAAAUUCGUAGAUAUUCGCAGGAACACCAGUGGCGAAGGCGGCUUACUGGUCCAUAACUGAACGCUG
rnacentral:rRNA from 1 species